rnacentral:lncRNA from 1 species
UUUAACUUCUGCUUUGCACCAUGGAUCCAUCAAAUCCUUUAUUUGGAAUGAGGAAGAAUUGGUAUUCCUGGGCAUUUACUAUUUUUAAAGUGAAAAAGGCCAACAGAAAGCCUGCAUGUUCACUUUAAAAUAUCCUAUCCUUCUGGACUAUUUCACUUUCUCUGAAAUCACUGAUUCAGCUGAUGGUGACUCCGCUGCUUGUGUUUCGUUAUCUGAAAAGCUGCUUCCCGAGUAGAAGAAACAUGAAAGAUCAGGAAAGUGACUAACAGCAUGGGAGCCUUGAUGACGCCUAUCAAGUGCAAUAAAUGAAAACACCAGGGAUUGUGGCA